GACGAACGCUGGCGGCGUGCUUAACACAUGCAAGUCGAACGGUGAAGCGCCUUCCUUUUUGGUGGGUGUGGAUGAGUGGCGAACGGGUGAGUAACACGUGAGUAACCUGCCCCCUUCUUCUGGAUAACCGCAUGAAAGUGUGGCUAAUACGGGAUAUUCUGGGUCUGUCGCAUGAUGGGUCUGGGAAAGAUAUUGUUUCGGUGGGGGAUGGGCUCGCGGCCUAUCAGCUUGUUGGUGGGGUGAUGGCCUACCAAGGCGGUGACGGGUAGCCGGCCUGAGAGGGUGGACGGUCACACUGGGACUGAGGCACGGCCCAGACUCCUACGGGAGGCAGCAGUGGGGAAUAUUGCACAGUGGGCGCAAGCCUGAUGCAGCGACGCCGCGUGAGGGAUGGAGGCCUUCGGGUUGUGAACCUCUUUCGCCAGUGAAGCAGGCCUGCCUCGUUUGUGGGUGGGUUGACGGUAGCUGGAUAAGAAGCGCCGGCUAACUACGUG
rnacentral:rRNA from 1 species